rnacentral:rRNA from 1 species
GACGAACGCUGGCGGCGUGCCUAAUACAUGCAAGUCGAGCGGACUUGAUGAAGUGCUUACACUUCUGAUGGUUAGCGGCGGACGGGUGAGUAACACGUAGGUAACCUGCCUAUAAGACUGGGAUAACAUUCGGAAACGAAUGCUAAUACCGGAUACGCGAAUUGGUCGCAUGGCCGAAUCGGGAAAGACGGAGCAAUCUGUCGCUUAUAGAUGGACCUGCGGCGCAUUAGCUAGUUGGUGAGGUAACGGCUCACCAAGGCGACGAUGCGUAGCCGACCUGAGAGGGUGAUCGGCCACACUGGGACUGAGACACGGCCCAGACUCCUACGGGAGGCAGCAGUAGGGAAUCUUCCGCAAUGGACGAAGGUCUGACGGAGCAACGCCGCGUGAGUGAUGAAGGUUUUCGGAUCGUAAAGCUCUGUUGCCAGGGAAGAACGCUUGGGAGAGUAACUGCUCUCAAGGUGACGGUACCUGAGAAGAAAGCCCCGGCUAACUACGUGCCAGCCGCCGCGGUAA